UAGAGUCUUGUAGUCUGCGUCCUGUCUUCGACAAGGAAAAACAUUUGUGUGUGUUGGCUAAGCAACCCAGUAUUGCUGGGGCGUGUUUCGUUCAAUACUCGUUUUCAUUUAGAAGAUAAUAAGAAAAGUGUUUGUGGAUUGUGCGAUAAAUAUUCGAAUUCAAGAAGGAGUGGCAAUUUCUCUUCAAUAGGGAAAUCUCAACAGCGCACACCAACUUUUGGAUUCUGGCAAGCCCUAUAGCCUAGUUUGACGUCACUGGCCAUCGACUCCUACCAUCACCUUCAUACACACACAGCACAGCACACGAUCGAUUUUCCUAGAGGUUUCCAAACAGCUUUUUGGGUUGGCUGGAUCGUGAUGGACCCAGCGAAAGUACCCCCCUUUACGUCCGCACAGGAAGAAGCACGAUAUUGGAGAUUAAAAGCCGAAGAAUUCCAGAGAAUUGGAGAGGAUGCCCGGCUAGAGUUGGAAGAGUAUCAGGAAUCGAGUAGAGAAUUAGAAGCCGAGCUGGAAGCGCAAAUCAAACAAGCCGAACACCAAGUCCGUGAACUACGCUCCACCAAUCACAGACUACUAAUUGAACACAGUUCUCUGAAAGAAAAAUUUGAGGCACUCAGCCGAGAUCACCACACUCGAGUAAACGAGUUAGAGACACAUGUGCAUCAGCUACGAACCAAAAACGAAGAAACAGCCAAGCGAAUCAGACAGUUAGAGCAGACUAACGAUGAUCUAGAACGGGCGAAUCGAGCCACGCUGGGAUCACUUGAAGAUUUUGAGACACGUUUGCACACGGCCAUCGAGCGCAACGCAUUCCUUGAGUCAGAACUAGACGAUAAAGAGUCGCUGGCCGUUAUGGUCCAACGGUUAAAGGACGAAACCAAAGAUUUGAAGCAAGAACUUCAGGUUCGACAGAAGGCCAUCCAUGAGACACCGGACAACGAAAAGCAAGAGAAAGCCAUCGUAGACGAGAACGAAAAAUCGGACCCCACGAAAUCGCCGCUGGCCUAUCCUGCUAGCAAUAACAACAACAAACUGCCCUCCAGCGUGCCCCUAAAACCGCUGUCAGUUACGGAUACAGGAAUCACCCAGGCAGCACGGCAUUCCGCCUUGAACAUAGUUGGCGAUUUGUUGCGACGAGUUGGGUGUUUAAGACAGCAGCUCAGCAACGUCCAAAAUCCAUCACCCGGAGUUUACUACCCACUCUUUCCCAGGCGUUAGAGAACAAACUAUCAACAUGCCGGACUAUGGUGAAGGAGGGCAACGGGGCGGUCAAAGAAGCCACUAGGGGGAAAUUGUUGAAUCGUGCAGCGUCGACGGCAGCGCCGGUGCAGAGUAUCAUUCGAGCUUAACUAGUUCCAAUUGUUGACGAAAUUACAACAGAAGCAAAAAAAGCAGGGCAAAAAACGA
rnacentral:misc_RNA from 1 species